GACGGAGGAGGCUAGCGUUGUUCGGAAUUACUGGGCGUAAAGCGUGCGUAGGCGGCCUGGUUAGUCGGAGGUGAAAUCCCGGGGCUCAACUCCGGAACUGCCUCCGAGACGGCUGGGCUUGAGUGAAGGAGAGGAGAGCGGAAUUCCCAGUGUAGAGGUGAAAUUCGUAGAUAUUGGGAAGAACACCGGUGGCGAAGGCGGCUCUCUGGCCUUUAACUGACGCUGAGGCACGAAAGCGUGGGGAGCAAACAGGAUUAGAAACCCCAGUAGUCC
rnacentral:rRNA from 1 species